rnacentral:tRNA from 1 species
GCCGGUGUGAUGGAAUUGGCAGACGUGUCGCACUCAAAAUGCGAUGGGGAACCCCCCGUGCCGGUUCGAGUCCGGCCACCGGCACCA